rnacentral:rRNA from 1 species
GAUCCUGGCUCAGAUUGAACGCUGGCGGCAUGCUUUACACAUGCAAGUCGAACGGUAACAGGCCUUCGGGUGCUGACGAGUGGCGAACGGUGAGUAAUGCAUCGGAACGUGCCCAAUCGUGGGGAUAACGUAGCGAAAGUUACGCUAAUACCGCAUAAGCCCUGAGGGGGAAAGCAGGGGAUCGCAAGACCUUGCGCGAAUGGAGCGGCCGAUGUCAGAUUAGCUAGUUGGUGGGGUAAAGGCCUACCAAGGCGACGAUCUGUAGCGGGUCUGAGAGGAUGAUCCGCCACACUGGGACUGAGACACGGCCCAGACUCCUACGGGAGGCAGCAGUGGGGAAUUUUGGACAAUGGGCGCAAGCCUGAUCCAGCCAUGCCGCGUGCGGGACGAAGGCCUUCGGGUUGUAAAC